GCGCCCUUAGCUCAGUUGGAUAGAGCAGCGACCUUCUAAGUCGUGGGCCGCAGGUUCGAAUCCUGCAGGGCGCGCCA
rnacentral:tRNA from 1 species